AUUGAACGCUGGCGGCAUGCUUUACACAUGCAAGUCGAACGGCAGCGCGGGCUUCGGCCUGGCGGCGAGUGGCGAACGGGUGAGUAAUACAUCGGAACGUGCCCAGUAGUGGGGGAUAGCUCGGCGAAAGCCGGAUUAAUACCGCAUACGACCUGAGGGUGAAAGCGGGGGAUCUUCGGACCUCGCGCUAUUGGAGCGGCUGAUGGCAGAUUAGCUAGUUGGUGGGGUAAAGGCCUACCAAGGCGACGAUCUGUAGCUGGUCUGAGAGGACGACCAGCCACACUGGGACUGAGACACGGCCCAGACUCCUACGGGAGGCAGCAGUGGGGAAUUUUGGACAAUGGGCGAAAGCCUGAUCCAGCAAUGCCGCGUGUGUGAUGAAGGCCUUCGGGUUGUAAAGCACUUUUGGCGGGAACGAAAAGGACUGUGCCAAUACCACGGUUCGAUGACGGUACCCGCAGAAUAAGCACCGGCUAACUACGUG
rnacentral:rRNA from 1 species